CGAGCAUAUUCAUUUGCAUCGCUGUGUUUCACAGCAGUAAAAAUUUACGAGUGCCUGGAAAGGUUAAAUUAUACUAUUGUGUUUAGUUUGGGAACUCACUGUAAAUAAUACUGUGCCGUUGAGUUCAGAGCUAACUGGGGCUGGCAGGGAAAAGUCAAAUCCAACACGAUUCCCCUUUCGAAAAGGGAAUCUGCCCACCGCCGAACAGAGCAGGAGGAUAACUGGGGCUGGGGGCGAGAGAUCUCAAAUCGAUAUCGAAAUUUGCAUCUUUAUCCGCGCCUCUGAUCUAAGAGUCCUCGGACCCACAGCCAGGAAUCCCUCACUGUGGAAUCGGACCCACAACUAGGAAUCCCAAACACCCACCUCCUGGCUCCUCAGUAAUCUCUUUCUCUUCUCUCUCUCCCUCCCCUCACCCCCUGCGCAGCCCCCGAAAUAAUUCCAGCAGCAGAAUAAGGCAAGGAACCGCAGACACAUUUAAAUUCUGCCACAAAUACUAGCUUAACCUGCAGGUGUGGGAGACAAUUGCCCUUCUUGCUGUUUUUCUUUUAAAUAAUAUUGUGACAUUUUAUCAAGAAGUUGUUUGAUGCCCCGUUCUUUGACAACUAGAUAACCUUUAUAUUUUUUAUUUUUAUUUUGGUAAAAGGAAGAGACCAAGUCAAGAGGAGGAAUGCAGAAGAGAACUUUUAUGCGGGAGAAAAACUGAGCGGACACAUCCCCCUCGAUCAAGUUGACUG